UACGUAGGGGGCGAGCGUUGUCCGGAGUUACUGGGCGUAAAGGGCACGCAGGCGGUGCGGCGCGUUUCGCGUGACAGCGGAGGGCUUAACUCUCCGAGGAUGCGAAAGACGGCGGCACUUGAGGGCCAGAGAGGGACACGGAAUUCCGGGUGGAGUGGUGAAAUGCGUAGAUAUCCGGAGGAAUACCAAAGGCGAAGGCAGUGUCCUGGCUGGCAUCUGACGCUGAGGCGCGAAAGCUAGGGGAGCGAACAGG
rnacentral:rRNA from 1 species